UAGGGAAUCUUCCGCAAUGGACGCAAGCCUGACGGAGCAACGCCGCGUGAGUGAAGAAGGAUUUCGGUUCGUAAAACUCUGUUGUUAGAGAAGAACAGCGCAUAGAGUAACUGUUAUGCGUGUGACGGUAUCUAACCAGAAAGCCACGGCUAACUACGUGCCAGCAGCCGCGGUAAUACGUAGGUGGCAAGCGUUGUCCGGAUUUAUUGGGCGUAAAGCGAGCGCAGGCGGUCAGUUAAGUCUGAUGUGAAAGCCCCCGGCUCAACCGGGGAGGGUAAUUGGAAACGGGUUGACUUGAGUGCAGAAGAGGAGAGUGGAAUUCCAUGUGUAGCGGUGAAAUGCGUAGAUAUAUGGAGGAACACCAGUGGCGAAGGCGACUCUCUGGUCUGUAACUGACGCUGAGGUUCGAAAGCGUGGGUAGCGAACAGG
rnacentral:rRNA from 1 species